CCUACGGGAGGCAGCAGUGGGGAAUAUUGGACAAUGGGGGGAACCCUGAUCCAGCCAUGCCGCGUGUGUGAAGAAGGCCCUCGGGUUGUAAAGCACUUUCAGUGAGGAAGAACGCCUGGUGGUUAAUACCCAUCAGGAAAGACAUCACUCACAGAAGAAGCACCGGCUAACUCCGUGCCAGCAGCCGCGGUAAUACGGGGGGUGCGAGCGUUAAUCGGAAUUACUGGGCGUAAAGCGCGCGUAGGUGGCUUGAUAAGCCGGUUGUGAAAGCCCCGGGCUCAACCUGGGAACGGCAUCCGGAACUGUCAAGCUAGAGUGCAGGAGAGGAAGGUAGAAUUCCCGGUGUAGCGGUGAAAUGCGUAGAGAUCGGGAGGAAUACCAGUGGCGAAGGCGGCCUUCUGGACUGACACUGACACUGAGGUGCGAAAGCGUGGGUAGCAAACAGGAUUAGAUACCCGAGUAGUC
rnacentral:rRNA from 1 species